rnacentral:rRNA from 1 species
UUUCCGAGUCGGCUCGUGGCCACCUCCCACCCUUGUCUCUCUACACCUGUUGCUUUGGCGGGCCCACUGGGGCUCCCUGGUCGCCGGGGGACGCCUGUCCCCGGGCCCGCGCCCGCCGAAGCGCUUCGUGAACCCUGAUGAAGAAGGGCUGUCUGAGUACUAUGAAAAUUGUCAAAACUUUCAACAAUGGAUCUCUUGGUUCCGGCAUCGAUGAAGAACGCAGCGAAAUGCGAUAAGUAAUGUGAAUUGCAGAAUUCCGUGAAUCAUCGAAUCUUUGAACGCACAUUGCGCCCCCUGGCAUUCCGGGGGGCAUGCCUGUCCGAGCGUCAUUUCUGCCCUCAAGCACGGCUUGUGUGUUGGGUGUGGUCCCCCCGGGGACCUGCCCGAAAGGCAGCGGCGACGUCCGUCUGGUCCUCGAGCGUAUGGGGCUCUGUCACUCGCUCGGGAAGGACCUGCGGGGGUUGGUCACCACCACAUUUUCUAUUAUGGUUGACCUCGGAUCAGGUAGGAGUUACCCGCUGAACUUAAGCAUAUCAAUAAGACGGAGG